UAGGCCGUUCCAAGAUGCUGUCAAAAUUAAAUCAAUAUGGCUACUGGAAGGCAAACAUUGAAUAUUAUUCUAUCAGGUUCUUAUGGUUUUAGAUCAUUUUAGUUGUUGUACAAAGAUUAAUUUAACAUUUUCUCUGGAAGUAUGAAUUUAGAAAGAUAAUAUGCCUCAUUGGUGUUGUGUUUUGAAGUGUGAAAUGCAAAGUAAUCGUGAUAAAGUUAGCUUUUACCACUUACCAUCAGUGCUACAUUCUAAGCACAAAACUGAACCAAUUUAACUAAAUAAGUUAUAGUUAUCAUCUGAGAGACAACAACAAUGGUAAAAUGCAAUAAAAUAUAAAGAUUUUACUAGCAAAAUGGAAAUUCCCCUGUAAUCAUCUUAUAUCUGGUAAGUUACAACAUUUGAACAUUAACGAUUUUUGAAGAUGUUAACAGUCUAAUCUUGUAGGAAAACCAGCCGACUUAACUGAUAAUAACAAUCCAGAUUGGGUUCCUUCAAUAAAUAUGGGGUAUAUAAACACAAUGAAAUGAGUUCCCCAAAAUCUAAAAUGGGAAUUAAGGUACCAAAGGAGAAUUAAAAGAAAAGGGUACCUACAAGAAAAAAUUGCUUUUUUAUUCCUCUUGAAAUGAUUUAUAUUCUACAAAUACUAGAAUCAGCUGAGAGAAGUGGUCUACAAAAACCCAGGAAGGAAACGGAAUAUGUGGCUACGAAAGGCAAAAGAAAGGUUUACAAAGCAAAUGUGACACAUUUUUUUGAAAUAUUUAGGAAUAUCAGUAAAUUGCAUUAAAAAAAUGUAUGAAAAGAUUUUGUUCAAUAAAAAUGUUUAUAUUUA